AUGGUCAGAGUAACUUUCUGUGUGUUAAAGUUUACCUCUAAAAUCACUGUACACUGUGUUUUUAGUACAGAGUGCAUCACUUGUGCAAUAACACAAAGGCUGACAGAAACAAGAAGUGUUCUUCUCACACAUUCUACGUUUGAGAAGAAAGCAAAGGAUACGACUACUAACAAUAGAUGGCAAGGGAAGACAUCCUACUUAAAUUCUAACCGAACAAUUUGUGGUUUUAGUAUUAUUUUCUCUUGCUUCUUUCUCUAUGAAAAGUAA
rnacentral:lncRNA from 1 species